rnacentral:rRNA from 1 species
GAACCGACUAAUGUUGAAAAAUUAGCGGAUGACCUGUGGCUGGGGGUGAAAGGCCAAUCAAACCGGGAGAUAGCUGGUUCUCCCCGAAAGCUAUUUAGGUAGCGCCUCGUGAAUUCAUCUCCGGGGGUAGAGCACUGUUUCGGCUAGGGGGCCAUCCCGGCUUACCAACCCGAUGCAAACUGCGAAUACCGGAGAAUGUUAUCACGGGAGACACACGGCGGGUGCUAACGUCCGUCGUGAAGAGGGAAACAACCCAGACCGCCAGCUAAGGUCCCAAAGUCAUGGUUAAGUGGGAAACGAUGUGGGAAGGCCCAGACAGCCAGGAUGUUGGCUUAGAAGCAGCCAUCAUUUAAAGAAAGCGUAAUAGCUCACUGGUCGAGUCGGCCUGCGCGGAAGAUGUAACGGGGCUAAACCAUGCACCGAAGCUGCGGCAGCGACGCUUAUGCGUUGUUGGGUAGGGGAGCGUUCUGUAAGCCU